UUGUAUGCCCUGGUGACGACUCCUACCCGGCCCUCCAUUUGCUCGCCCGGCAUCCUCUAUCUCUAAGAACCCGAUGUCUUGCGACCAAAAAAAUCCAACAAGCGUCCUCGCCAUGUGAAGCUCGUUUCCAUCAGGUAGGCUGACCUCGUGCUUGACACUGUCGACCAGCAGCAAGGCGGCAAAUUCAUUUAUAUAGAGAUCAACUCACACAUGCAGUUUCUCACCUGUAGAAACUUUUCUCAAGUUGUCAGAUAAAGAGCACCGUGGAUGGAUAUAUUAUCAUGUUUGUAUGUAUCUAUACUUCAUAUGGGCACAUGAAAUCUACACGGCAAGAUUGAACUUCUGCAGUGCAUGUUUACUCGAUGUGAAAAUCUUCUAUGUGCCGGAUUUGAAGGCAGUUGCCACAAGGAUAAGCUAGAGAAGCAGAGAAAACAAGGAGCCAUUGUUCCAUUAUCAACAUGUAGAAACUAAAAAUCAUAUAGAUAUGUUUCACCUAGUUUGCGCAUGUAAUUGUUAAUAGGAGAUGUGUACAAUUGAGUUUGUAAACUACUACUACUCUGAGUAAUACAAUGUUAUUAUCU